CUGAAGCCUGGAAACAAACAGAGCCAGCAGAACAGAAGCUCAACAGUGUGUGGAUUAUGCCACAACAGUCUGCAGCGCUUGAAGAGCUAGCCCCUGACACCAUCCCCCCCAAAGAGAGUGGCGUUGCUUACUAUGUGGACCUGCAUGGACAUGCUUCCAAAAGGGGCUGCUUCAUGUACGGAAACAGCUUUAGUGAUGAGAGCACCCAGGUGGAAAACAUGCUGUAUCCAAAGCUCAUCUCCUUGAACUCAGCCCACUUCGACUUCCAGGGCUGCAAUUUCUCAGAGAAGAAUAUGUAUGCCCGAGACCGUAGAGAUGGCCAGUCUAAAGAGGGAAGCGGCCGUGUUGCAAUCUACAAAGCCUCAGGGAUAAUCCACAGCUACACACUUGAAUGCAACUACAACACUGGACGCUCAGUAAACAGCAUCCCUGCUGCCUGCCAUGACAAUGGGCGUGCCAGCCCCCCUCCCCCGCCGGCUUUCCCCUACAGAUACACUGUGGAACUAUUUGAGCAGGUGGGACGAGCUAUGGCCAUCGCAGCUCUGGACAUGGCGGAAUGUAAUCCAUGGCCCCGAAUUGUACUGUCAGAGCACAGCAGCCUUACUAAUCUACGGGCCUGGAUGCUGAAACAUGUACGCAACAGCCGAGGCCUAAGCAGCACUCUGAAUGUGGGUGUCGGCAAGAAGAGGGGCCCUCGAACUCCACCCAAAAGUCACAAUGGGUUGCCUGUUUCCUGCUCCGAAAACACCUUGAGCCGGGCACGAAGUUUUAGCACUGGCACAAGUGCUGGUGGUAGCAGCAGCAGCCAACAAAAUUCUCCACAGAUGAAGAAUUCCCCCAGCUUUCCUUUUCAUGGCAGUCGGCCUGCAGGGCUGCCAGGCCUGGGCUCUAGUACCCAAAAGGUCACCCACCGGGUGCUGGGCCCCGUCAGAGGUAAGCCAGUCUGGGAGCCCCUGCAACAUGUGUUUGGUUGUCUGGGGCACUGCUGGGGGAAGUAAGAGCUUGAAGAUAUACUCUUGGCCCAGGACCAAGGGGUGAAUCAAUAAAAUUAGUUUGUAGCAGAAAAAAAAAAAAAAA